GGGGCACGUGGUCUAGUGGUAUGAUUCUCGCUUAGGGUGCGGGCGGUCCUGGGUUCGAUUCCCAGCUUGCCCCU
rnacentral:tRNA from 2 species